rnacentral:rRNA from 1 species
UACGUAGGGUGCAAGCGUUGUCCGGAAUUAUUGGGCGUAAAGAGCUCGUAGGCGGUUUGUCGCGUCUGGUGUGAAAAUCCAGGGCUUAACCCUGGACCUGCAUCGGGUACGGGCAGACUAGAGUGCGGUAGGGGAGAUCGGAAUUCCUGGUGUAGCGGUGAAAUGCGCAGAUAUCAGGAGGAACACCGGUGGCGAAAGCGGCUUCCUGGUCCGACACCGACGUUCAGGCACGAAAGCGUGGGGAGCAAACAGG